AGGAUAAACGCUGGCGGCGUGCCUAACACAUGCAAGUCGAACGCCCUUGAGCAAUCGAGGGAGUGGCGGACGGGUGAGUAACACGUGGGUACCUACCCCAAGGUGAGGAAUACCGGCGAGAAAUCGCCGACAAUACCGCAUACGUUUCGCAAGAAACAAAGCUCGCAAGAGCGCCAUGGGAAGGGCCUGCGGCCGAUUAGCUAGUUGGUGAGGUAAGAGCUUACCAAGGCGACGAUCGGUAGCUGGUCUGAGAGGACGAUCAGCCACACUGGGAUUGAGAACGGCCCAGACUCCUACGGGGGGCAGCAGUGAGGAAUUUUCGUCAAUGGGGGCAACCCUGAACGAGCAACGCCGCGUGCAGGAGAAGGUUUUCGGAUCGUAAACUGCUUUUCUCUGGGACGAGAACGGACGGUACCAGAGGAAUCAGCCCCGGCUAACGUACGUGCCGAGCAGCCGC
rnacentral:rRNA from 1 species